rnacentral:ncRNA from 2 species
GCAACGGAUAUCUCGGCUCUCGCAUC